CGAGAGGCAGAAACAUUCGGCAACGGUGUCGGUUACAGAGGAUGGUCCGCAGCGCAGUGCAGCGCUCCGACAACACUAGCCUGACAAGACGAACAGUCCAUCGACAUUUAUAAAAGACACUCCAGGACUCUUCUUCAUCUAGGCUGUCAUAAAUUACCUACGAGAAAGUGGAGAGUUUAAUUCCAGAGACGAAGACUAUGGACGAACAGCCAGCAGCGAUUUCAGAUCAGGGAAAGUAGAACGGACCAGGAGAAGGUGCCCUCUCUUUGCUUUGAGCCUGAUUAUCGGUCUGUCUGGUCUCCAGCUCUUUUGGUCUGGUUGUCUGGUUCGGGCGAGCAGUGAUCUUCCACAGCAGACAUCUCCAGGGAUUGUAGCACGUGGUCUGAGGAGGAGUCAUGGGGCCGGUACGGGCCUACCCAUUAGCCCUGCCUGUGCUGGCUGUUCUGGGCCUCAUUAUCAGCGCAUGGAGCCUCAACCCAGAUGACCCCAAUGUCUGCAGUCACUGGGAGAGGUGAGAGAGGGUCACUCUCCUGUGUUAAACUCUGUUUUACCUUCCGUUUAUCCAUAGCAGGAUUCAC